rnacentral:rRNA from 1 species
GAUGAACGCUGGCGGCGUGCUUAACACAUGCAAGUCGAACGGGAAUUACUUUAUUGCAACUUCGGUCGAUUUAAUUUAAUUCUAGUGGCGGACGGGUGAGUAACGCGUGGGUAACCUGCCUUAUACAGGGGGAUAACAGUCAGAAAUGGCUGCUAAUACCGCAUAAGCGCACAGAGCUGCAUGGCUCGGUGUGAAAAACUCCGGUGGUAUAAGAUGGACCCGCGUUGGAUUAGCUUGUUGGUGGGGUAACGGCCCACCAAGGCGACGAUCCUUAGCCGGCCUGAGAGGGUGAACGGCCACAUUGGGACUGAGACACGGCCCAGACUCCUACGGGAGGCAGCAGUGGGGAAUAUUGCACAAUGGGGGAAACCCUGAUGCAGCGACGCCGCGUGAAGGAAGAAGUAUCUCGGUAUGUAAACUUCUAUCAGCAGGGAAGAUAGUGACGGUACCUGACUAAGAAGCCCCGGCUAACUACGUG